GUUAAAUCUUGAGGCUUAACUUCAAAAUCGCAGUCGAAACUAUUUGACUAGAGUAUAGUAGGGGUAAAGGGAAUUUCCAGUGGAGCGGUGAAAUGCGUARAUAUUGGAAAGAACACCGAUGGCGAAGGCACUUUACUGGGCUAUUACUGACACUCAKAGACGAAAGCUAGGGUAGCAAAUGGGAUUAGAUACCCCAGUAGUCCUAGCCGUAAACAAUGGAUACUAGAUGUUGAACAGAUCGACCUGUGCAGUAUCAAAGCUAACGCGUUAAGUAUCCCGCCUGGGAAGUAUGCUCGCAAGGGUGAAACU
rnacentral:rRNA from 1 species